UACGUAGGGACCAAGCGUUGUUCGGAUUUACUGGGCGUAAAGGGCGCGUAGGCGGCCACCGCAAGUCGACUGUGAAAUCUCCGGGCUUAACCCGGAAAGGUCAGCCGAUACUGCGGGGCUAGAGUGCAGAAGGGGCAACUGGAAUUCUCGGUGUAGCGGUGAAAUGCAUAGAUAUCGAGAGGAACACCUGCGGCGAAGGCGGGUUGCUGGGCUGACACUGACGCUGAGGCGCGAAAGCUAGGGGAGCGAACGGG
rnacentral:rRNA from 1 species